rnacentral:RNase_P_RNA from 1 species
CACGGCUUGUCGCUGGCCCUCUUUUUGCAGGGCGAGAGGAAAGUCCGGGCAGCAUAGGGCGCUCCACUUCCGAAAAUAGAAGCUAUGGGUGACUGUAGGGGAGGGUAGAAGAAAAUAACCGCCUCGCUCUCUGCGGGGUAAGGGUGAGAAGGUGGUGUAAGAGACCACCAGGCGGCGGGUGAUCGCCGUGCUGUGCCCCCUGGAGGCUGCAAGUUCGUGUAUACCAUCGUCUGAGGGCGGCCCGUCCGAGCGUAGCACGAUGGAGGGUGGAAUGCUGGAGCCAUGCGGUGACGCAUGGACUAGAUAAAUGACAGGCACCUGCCAUGCCGAGAGGCAUGGCAUGGUACAGAACCCGGCUUACAGGGCCGCUG